rnacentral:rRNA from 1 species
CGGGCCUUGUACACACCGCCCGUCACACCACGAAAGUCGGCAAUACCCGAAGCCGGUGAGCUAACCCCUCGGGGAGGCAGCCGUCGAAGGUAGGGUUGAUGAUUUGGGGUG